AUACGGAGGAUGCGAGCGUUAUUCGGAUUUAUUGGGCUUAAAGGGAGCGUAGGUGGGAUAUUAAGUCAGCUGUGAAAGUUUGGGGCUCAACCUUAAAAUUGCAGUUGAUACUGGUUUCCUUGAGUACGGUACAGGUGGGCGGAAUUCGAGGUGUAGCGGGGAAAUGCUUAGAUAUCACGAAGAACUCCGAUCGCGAAGGCAGCUCACCGGGCCGGAACUGACACUGAUGCUCGAAAGUGCGGGUAUCAAACAGGAUUAGAUACCCUGGUAGUCCGCACAGUAAACGAUGAAUACUCGCUGUUUGCGAUACACGGUAAGCGGCCAAGCGAAAGCGUUAAGUAUUCCACCUGGGGAGUACGCCGGCAACGGUGAAACUCAAAUGAAUUGGCGGGG
rnacentral:rRNA from 1 species